rnacentral:lncRNA from 1 species
AUGAGCUUACCCUUCUCCUUAAGUGCUUCUAUAUCAGAAAACAAGAGCAAAACUGAAACAAAGCUCACCGAGGUCCUCUCUCUGCCAUCCUCUUGCCGUGCCAGAUGGUUGGACGAGUGGAGUCUCCUGAUCUUUGCCUGGGAACCUCUCAACUAUCGGCAGAAAAAUUGUAUCUUCCAAAUCAAGGUUGCGUUCUGGCACACUGACUUCAGCUGAACUGAUGUGAAGAAAGUGCGGUUACUGUGU